rnacentral:rRNA from 1 species
GCAGCNNCGCCGCGUGANCGAAGAAGGCCUUCGGGUNGUAAAGCUCUGUCCUUGGGGAAGAAGGCGAAAGCUUGACGGUACCCAAGAANAAAGCCCCGGCUAACUACGUGCCAGGCAGCCGCGGUAAUACGUAGGGGGCGAGCGUUGUCCGGAAUUACUGGGCGUAAAGGGUGCGUAGGCGGCCUUUUAAGUCAGAUGUGAAAGGCUGCGGCUUAACCGCAGGACUGCAUUUGAAACUGGAAGGCUUGAGUGUCGGAGAGGGUAGUGGAAUUCCCAGUGUAGCGGUGAAAUGCGUAGAUAUUGGGAGGAACACCAGUGGCGAAUGCGACUACCUGGACGAUAACUGACGCUGAGGCACGAAAGCUAGGGGAGCAAACAGGAUU